GAUGAACGCUGGCGGCGUGCCUAAUACAUGCAAGUCGAGCGAACAGACGAGGAGCUUGCUCCUCUGACGUUAGCGGCGGACGGGUGAGUAACACGUGGAUAACCUACCUAUAAGACUGGCAUAACUUCGGGAAACCGGAGCUAAUACCGGAUAAUAUAUUGAACCGCAUGGUUCAAUAGUGAAAGACGGUUUUGCUGUCACUUAUAGAUGGAUCCGCGCCGCAUUAGCUAGUUGGUAAGGUAACGGCUUACCAAGGCAACGAUGCGUAGCCGACCUGAGAGGGUGAUCGGCCACACUGGAACUGAGACACGGUCCAGACUCCUACGGGAGGCAGCAGUAGGGAAUCUUCCGCAAUGGGCGAAGGCCUGACGGAGCAACGCCGCGUGAGUGAUGAAGGUCUUCGGAUCGUAAAACUCUGUUAUUAGGGAAGAACAAAUGUGUAAGUAACUAUGCACGUCUUGACGGUACCUAAUCAGAAAGCCACGGCUAACUACGUG
rnacentral:rRNA from 1 species